CUCACAAGAGAGAAAACAACCCCAAAGAAAAAACCUCUCUUCUUCUCCAAAGCUAACAUCCAACCUUCCCCGUCAACCAGGCAGCGACGCAAAAUAGUCCACCAGCGAACCAAACAGCCCUUACGACCACCACCAGCUUCGUCGCCCAAUUCGUCGUCACACAGCCUCCAGCCUCACGUCCAAAUGACCCCUCCAGUCGCCGGAAAAACCAGUACGAUGCCUCCCUCACGUUCAAACAAUCAUAGCUGCUUCGUCAUCCAUCGAACACCAAACACAACUGCUUCCUUCUUCAGCCCAUCGCACAGCCUCGCAAACACCAUUUCCGUCCAGUUUCAUCGUCAAACGACCACCCCUGGAAACUCAGCUGCUAUCUCGUCGUUCUUCAGGUUCAAUCCGUCGAGGUCGUCGUUUGUCGUUCUGAGUUCGUCGAGGUUAAAAGAAUGAGCACGAGUAGGAAUUCAUCUGAGGCCAUUGUAAAUGAUAUCCCUUUAGGCUUACGCAUGUGGUGGAACGACUUAGAAGAAUCAAGGCGAGAUACAGUCAAGAUGUACUUAGGAAAAUUAGUUGGGCUACUGGACAUUGUUCCGAGAGGGGACAUUAUAAGGGAGUUAAUCUCAUUCUAGGACCCAACACACAAUGUAUUUCAUUUCUCAGACUUUGAGCUCACACCAACACUGGAAGAACUGGCAGGAUACAUCGGGAGUCCCAAAGUCCCUAUGAGAGAGCAGUAUCUUAUUGCACCAAGGACCGUGACCAUACACAAAUUUUUAGACACCGUGAAGAUCCGCAGAGUUAUACACAACCCAGAAUUAUCUGAAGGUUUUUGUAGUUUUGCAUUCUUGUACGACAGAUACGGUCAUUUUGGAGGGUUCAACAAUCCCGAGGGAAAGAUUUGCAGCGGGGAAAACCAACUGAAAUGGGGAGGAUAUAGGUGUAUUGCUUUCAUGGUAGCCUUUCUGGGCCUUCUGAUAUUCCCUAGAAAAGACGCAAAAAUUAACAUACAAGUCACGGGGGUCGUCAGCACUUUGCUCAAGCAAAACAACAGCACUCUGGCGCCAAUGAUUAUAGCAAACAUCUUCCGCGCUCUCACUGUUUGCAAAAUCGGAGGAGGUUUCUUUGAGGGUUGCAAUGUACUACUGCAAAUGUGGAUGAUAGAACACCUAUGUCAUCGCCCACAGUUCCUGAAAUAUGAGUCGU